GCCUACUAUACCAGAAGCCCUGCUCCGAACAGUGACAACAGACCCGGCCCAGCCUUUAAACAAUUCGUUAGAAACACGUCGUGCUGCUACUGCGCAGUCCUAAAAGCAACUCCACACGUUAGAGAUGGAGAUCUGACGUCCAGCUGCCGAUCGUUGCGUUUGCUCCGGUGCGUAAACAGUAAGAAAAAAGUUGGAUUCAGUUGUCAGUGCGACGAACGAAGUGGAGAAUGCAGUGAGUCGCCGAGUGAGCGAACAGCUUAAGCUAUACGAUAUCAUGGAAAAGCCGAGGUCGUCGUCCUGGGAAAAUCCUCCAUGCAGGCUCUCUCUGGCUCCACUGGUCAAGUGUAAAAUGUCCGCCUCGGCCAGUCCAGAUGCUGUUAUACACAGAGGUAGUAGCAGGGGUAGCGCACUGCCAAGUGGCACAUACUUUACUCCAUGGAGGAAGUUCGCUUUGCAACAGCCUUAUGUCAAGCCUUCCAUCAGCUACAUGGGAAAAAGGGCAAAAACAAGACUAACACGUGUUUUAGUUUCGUUAUGUCCUGGAUAAAACAAACCCGACGACUGCGGGGUAACUGUUAACAUGUUUUAUGCUAGCUUCCAAUCAUUCAAGGCAAAAAGUUUUAGAUUUGGAGACAUCCUACUAAACAUUCAAAAGGAUAACCUCUCUUUGGUAACUGAUGGCCCUGCCUGGUAUCUUCAAUAUUAUUCACCGAGGGAGAGAGAUAGGGAGAGAGGGCGGGGAGCCGCCAGUAAAUAUUGUUGGUAUUUUUAGUGCGUGUGUGUUGUCUGAAGAAGUUGUAGUUGCGCGUCUCUGGUGUCGACACGUGAGGGCGUGGAACGCUACUAGAAGAGAAAGAAAUAAUGAGAGGCACUGACCUGUUGAUAAAACGGUAAAACUGUAUCAGGCGUGGAAAAAGAAAGUAGUGCAGAUCUGUUCGGGUGAGGGCAUAUGAGUUCACGAGCAGCGCUUGUUGUAAUUCUAGUGGAAGCGGAUAUGGCGUCACAUGGGCGGGUCCACGUGACCCUGAUUUAAGGACAACAUAAAGAGCGAAGUAGUGAACUCGGUGAACUCCGAUAAAUAUACAGCAUAGUCAACUCGAAAUGUCUGCUU
ensembl:lncRNA